rnacentral:rRNA from 1 species
CGAGAAAGCCCGCAAGGGUGAGUAAAGCGGCGCACGGGUGCGUAACACGUGGGUAAUCUGCCCUAGAGUCUGGAAUAACUCGCCGAAAGGCGUGCUAAUGCCGGACAAGACCACGGGAGCUUCGGCUUCUGCGGGAAAAGGUGGCCUCUGUAUACAAGCUAUCGCUCUAGGAUGAGCCCGCGGCCCAUCAGCUAGUUGGCGGGGUAAUGGCCCACCAAGGCUACGACGGGUAGCUGGUCUGAGAGGACGAUCAGCCACACUGGAACUGAGACACGGUCCAGACUCCUACGGGAGGCAGCAGUGGGGAAUCUUGCGCAAUGGGCGAAAGCCUGACGCAGCAACGCCGCGUGUGUGAUGAAGGUCUUCGGAUCGUAAAGCACUGUCGCGAGGGACG